rnacentral:rRNA from 1 species
AGAGUUUGAUCCUGGCUCAGGACGAACGCUGGCGGCGUGCUUAACACAUGCAAGUCGAGCGAAGCAGUUAAGAAGAUUCUUCGGAUGAUUCUUAACUGACUGAGCGGCGGACGGGUGAGUAACGCGUGGGUGACCUGCCCCAUACCGGGGGAUAACAGCUGGAAACGGCUGCUAAUACCGCAUAAGCGCACAGAGCUGCAUGGCUCGGUGUGAAAAACUCCGGUGGUAUGGGAUGGGCCCGCGUCUGAUUAGGCAGUUGGCGGGGUAACGGCCCACCAAACCGACGAUCAGUAGCCGGCCUGAGAGGGCGACCGGCCACAUUGGGACUGAGACACGGCCCAAACUCCUAGGGGAGGCAGCAGUGGGGAAUAUUGCACAAUGGGGGAAACCCUGAUGCAGCGACGCCGCGUGAGCGAAGAAGUAUUUCGGUAUGUAAAGCUCUAUCAGCAGGGAAGAUAAUGACGGUACCUGACUAAGAAGCCCCGGCUAACUACGUGCCAGCAGCCGCGGUAAUACGUAGGGGGCAAGCGUUAUCCGGAUUUACUGGGUGUAAAGGGAGCGUAGACGGCAAGGCAAGUCUGAUGUGAAAACCCAGGGCUUAACCCUGGGACUGCAUUGGAAACUGUCUGGCUCGAGUGCCGGAGAGGUAAGCGGAAUUCCUAGUGUAGCGGUGAAAUGCGUAGAUAUUAGGAAGAACACCAGUGGCGAAGGCGGCUUACUGGACGGUAACUGACGUUGAGGCUCGAAAGCGUGGGGAGCAAACAGGAUUAAAUACCCUGGUAGUCCACGCCGUAAACGAUG